AAGAAGCAACUGCCAAAAAUAGACUCUCUCCGAUUACUAGUGAAAGAUAAUCCAUUUGAUGUCUUCUCAAGCUCCGAAACAUGGCUUAAACCAAGUAUCUCUAGACAUUUUAUUGCUUUGACUACUUUUUUGGCUUUUUAAUUUCCCACUCUUCGCCCGACUUAUGUUGAACAUUUGCCCGACUUUGUAAUCUUUUGGGGGGGGCAGCUGCCCCCCCCUAACCCCCCCCGUCCCGUACGCCUAUGAUCUCAGACUCCGAAGUAGCUAUACCUGGCUAUUCAAUUGUCAGAAUGGACCGUCAUAGAAAAAUCGGUGGUGGCACUGCUAUAUACAUUCGUGAUGGUUUACCUUUUAAAACCCAAUCGGACCUAAUGAAUAAUACCUUGGAAAACUGUGUGGUUGAAAUUUUACGACCUAAGGCUAAAAAACUGUUUAUAUGUUGCGCUUACAGAGCCCCAAACAAUCCUGUUGAAAACUACAUCACCGAAUUGGAAAACGUCAUUCACAAACUUCCAAACAACAGCGAGUUUAUCUUGCUGGGUGACUUUAACAUUGACCUUAGCAAGAACAAUCGAUCUCCCUUCAAACGAUUACUGAAUAAUCUCUCUUGCCAGCU